GUGAACGCUGGCGGUAGGCCUAACACAUGCCGGUCGAACGGCAGCACAGUAAGAGCUUGCUCUUACGGGUGGCGAGUGGCGGACGGGUGAGGAAUACAUCGGAAUCUACUUUUUCGUGGGGGAUAACGUAGGGAAACUUACGCUAAUACCGCAUACGACCUACGGGUGAAAGCAGGGGAUCUUCGGACCUUGCGCGAUUGAAUGAGCCGAUGUCGGAUUAGCUAGUUGGCGGGGUAAAGGCCCACCAAGGCGACGAUCCGUAGCUGGUCUGAGAGGAUGAUCAGCCACACUGGAACUGAGACACGGUCCAGACUCCUACGGGAGGCAGCAGUGGGGAAUAUUGGACAAUGGGCGCAAGCCUGAUCCAGCCAUACCGCGCGGGUGAAGAAGGCCUUCGGGUUGUAAAGCCCUUUUGUUGGGAAAGAAAAGCAGCAGGUUAAUACCCCGCUGUUCUGACGGUACCCAAAGAAUAAGCACCGGCUAACUUCGUG
rnacentral:rRNA from 1 species